GGCUGCCUGCCUCAUCCCAGGCCCCGUCUUCUGGUGUGUCCUUCAAUCUCUGUGGACUGCCUAUUGGGGUAGGGGGGCAGCAGGUGUUGAGGAAGGUGAUCACUCAGGCGAUGUCUCGGCCUGGCGGAACUCUGAGGAGUGGAGGAACAGCACACAGUGCUUAUGGUGAAGGUCAGGCGUGCUGAGUGUGGCCUCAGUCAACUCUGGUCGCCAUCGAGAACACGGUCUCCAGUACAAAGGCUGGCCCAGGAAAGAAAGUCAGGGUGUUAGAAAGCUGCCGACCAAAAGCCACAAGAACUUGUGACUUCUUUCCUGCUGCUCCUCUGAUGGCUGUGUCCAAGCCGUGAUGUCCUCUGAAGAUGGCUGUGGCUCAGAGGUCAUUGGGGGUGGUCUAGGUGGGUCACUCCUCUCUGAGGCCACUCUGUUCUUUCCUUUGAGGCUCUCCUGAAAGGCUGGUAGGAAAAGAGAUUGGCAGGGACCCAGGAGGGAACUGGAACCAGUGUCCCAGAUUCUAGUCCUGGCUCUUCACUGGCAAACUGGGAGAUGCUGGAAAUCCCCAACCCCAUCCCAAUGGCUUGCUGGGCCUCAGCGUCCUCAGCUGUGACACAGGGAAGUUGAUUGGAUGCUCCCUAAAUUUCUCCCAAAACACAUCCAGUGAUUCUUCCUAACAUCAACACAUCCUUCACCUCUGUAGAGUUGCCCUCAGCCAGCCUUGCCGCUGAGAGGUCUCCUGUGCGCACAUACAUACACCUGCUUCCGAGGCCCUGGCACACAGGCCGAGUGAGAGGGCAGGGCGGGUUCGGCUUGCUUCCUUUUUGUUCAGGCUCUUUGAACGCUCCAGGCUAACAUUAGGACCUGGGCAGGGUAGGGGUUGAUCCUUCACCCCCCUCCCCUUUCCACGUACUUGGAGUCCUUGUGCCCUGGAGCAGCUCCCAUUUCCAGGCCGAGGGUGGGAGGGCUGCCGAUUGGGUGGAGAAAAGCCAGUGCCUCUGCCCAGUCCUCCGACUGGUCAGGAAGCCAGGAAGGAGCGGCGAUGAGGCAGGUCCAGGCCUCAGCAUCUCACAUCCACCAUAUCCAGGAGAGAGACAUGCGCAGUUCUCCUGCUCAACUCAAGGGACUCAGACCCUUUUCUGACUGAGACGCAUGAGUGCCUUUGACAAGUUGGGCCUCCUAACCGCAGCCACGGCGCAGCAGGUCCACCUCGGACACCAAUCAACGCCACGCCACGAAUCCAGCUGGGCACAGGCAGAGGGCAGCUGGGGCUGCACGUUGUUCCUCCACCUGCCAAGGACCCCAGUCUCCCCGGUCACCCUCGCCACCACCUGUGACAGGCCUCAAGCUCCUCUCCCGCAAAGGCCCCCAGCCUCCGUGCAAGCAUUCUUAAACUCUUUACGCCUAACGAACAAGCACAGUUUUUUCAACGGUGAAGAAAAAGCACCAGACUUGUUUUCCUGAAGAAAUCCCCCAAGCCCCAACCCCGCCUGUGGGACAAACAUUCCCCGCGUGGGGCUGUAGCAACGUCUGUCAGGUCCCCCUUGUGUUUCAUCUCCUGCGCGCGCGUAGAGCAAAUGCUAGAGCGAUUUCAGCUGAUAGAAAAACAAAAAAGAAAAAAAAAACACAAAAAAAUUAAAAAAAAACAUGGCACGUUGCUAGUUUACAGGGUUUUGUGAGUUUAAAUGCCUUAUAUUUAACAAUCAUAAUUUAUGACUAACUUGUAGAUAUCGUGGGUUCUUAUUUAAUUAUUUUUAUAGUUGUUUUGCAUUUUUAAUUAUAAUUUAUUUAUUUAGAAAGGAUACUAAUGUUUUUUAUUGCUCCUAUUACCUCAUUUUGGCGUCGUUUCUGGGAGUGGAAUGCUUUGCAUGCGUUGGUACGAUGACAACUGCGAAACAAACAAACAAACAAACAAACCAUUUUAAAUAAAAGUCUGCGAACUUU
rnacentral:lncRNA from 1 species